rnacentral:rRNA from 1 species
AGAGAGAGACAUGCGCGCAUAUCAAUAAGCGGAGGAAAAGAAACUAACAAGGAUUCCCUUAGUAACGGCGAGUGAAGCGGGAAGAGCUCAAAUUUGAAAUCUUCAAGGUUUUACCUUGACGAAUUGUAGUUUAAAGAAGUGUUUUCUGCUGAAGUUUUGGUAAAAGUUCUUUGGAAUAGGACAUCAUAGAGGGUGAGAAUCCCGUAUUUGACCAUUAUUUUCAGCUUUGUGAUACAGCUUUCAAAGAGUCGGAUUGUUUGGGAAUGCAGUCCAAAAUGGGUGGUAAAUUUCAUCUAAAGCUAAAUAUUGGCGAGAGACCGAUAGCGAACAAGUACCGUGAGGGAAAGAUGAAAAGAACUCUGAAAAGAGAGUUAAACAGUACGUGAAAUUGUCAAAAGGGAAGCGUUUGACACCAGUGUUGUUUUCUCGAAAAUCAAUUAAAAAUGGCUCGAUUUUGUAUUGCUGAGACCUUAAAAGCUCACUGUACAUUUUUCGUGUCUUUUUUAAUGCACUUUUCGUUUAACAAGUCAACAUCAGUUUCUUUUGUUGUAAAAGGGUCAUUGGAAGGUGGCUUUCUUUUCGGAGAAAGUGUUUAUAGCCUUUGGCCUCUGCAAUCGGGAGAGACUGAGGUCUGCAGCGUAGACUCUUCGGGGUUAGAUACAUUUGUGCUAAGUUAUAGCUUUUUAUAGACAACUUGUUGACUAUAAUUAGUCUUGUAGCUUACUCGCUUAUGCUAUUUUACCUACGCUUAGGAUGUUGAAGAUGUAGCACAUCAU